AUUUGAGAGAGAACAAUAUCAGUCUCAGCAAGGUGCACAACAUACUAAAUGCAACACAUGGUGAUCAGGCUGUUGCACUGUUCCGUAAGCAAUCUUUAAGGUAUCUAUGCUCUCGGAUUGCUCAGGAUUCGAUAUCUGACGAUAUGGAAAAAACUGUAAAAUUGCUAGAUGAAAUGAAGUGUGUGGAUCCAAGCCUGUCAGUAUGUGUAGAAAUCGAUCAUGAGGGUUCCCCUAAGUUCAUCUUAUGGUGUACUGGGAAGAAUAAACAGGAUUAUGUGUACUUUGGUGAUGUGGUCACUUUCGACACAACAUACAGAACCAAUCUUUAUAAUAUGCCAUUUGGUAUUUUUGUUGGCGUGAACAAUCACUACCAGUCAACCAUUUUUGGAGGUGUGCUCAUGCGCGAGGAAACAGUAGCUGGAUUCGAGUGGGCUUUCAGAAAUUUUGUUGAAGUUAUGAAUCGGAAACAUCCGGUCACCAUCCUAACAGAUCAGUGUAGAGCAAUGGAAGGGGCAAUAAGAAAUGUACUUCCAAAUACAAGACACCGUUGGUGUAAAUGGCAUGUCAUGAAGUGUGCUAAAGAACAUCUCGGAGGUGUCUACAGCAAGAAGAGUUUAGUCAAAGAAGAAUUCCACAAACUCAUAAAUGAGAUCCUUUGCGUUUCCCAGUUUGAGGACAAAUGGGCCAAACUCCUGGAUAAGCAUGAUCUGAUUCAAAAUAAGUACCUAAGAGCAAUUUGUAUUCGAAUCGCGAGAAGUGGGCUAAACCUUAUUUUUCAGAUGUUUUCUGUGCUGGCAUGACGAGCACUCAACGAAGUGAAAGCGCUAACCACCUCUUGAAGCAGUACAUUCCUAGAUCAUCGCCUAUGCACUUGUUUGUGAAGCAGUACAAUAACCUACUAAGGUCAAGAAGGUCGGAUGAAGGAAAGGAACAACACAACACCAAUGCG